GACGAACGCUGGCGGCGUGCUUAACACAUGCAAGUCGAACGGAAAGGCCCCUUUGGGGGUACUCGAGUGGCGAACGGGUGAGUAACACGUGAGUAACCUGCCCUUGACUUCGGGAUAACUUCAGGAAACUGGGGCUAAUACCGGAUAGGAAUCCUUGCUGCAUGGUGGGGGUUGGAAAGCUUCGGCGGUUUUGGAUGGACUCGCGGCUUAUCAGCUUGUUGGUGGGGUAGUGGCUUACCAAGGCUUUGACGGGUAGCCGGCCUGAGAGGGCGACCGGCCACAGUGGGACUGAGAUACGGCCCAGACUCCUACGGGAGGCAGCAGUGGGGAAUAUUGCACAAUGGGCGGAAGCCUGAUGCAGCAACGCCGCGUGCGGGAGGACGGCCUUCGGGUUGGAAACCGAUUUCAGCAGGGGCGAAGCUUGUGGUGACGGUACCUGCAGAAGAAGCACCGGCUAACUACGUG
rnacentral:rRNA from 1 species